rnacentral:rRNA from 1 species
AUUGAACGCUGGCGGCGUGCUUAACACAUGCAAGUCGAACGGAAAGGCCCUGCUUUUGUGGGGUGCUCGAGUGGCGAACGGGUGAGUAACACGUGAGUAACCUGCCCUUGACUUUGGGAUAACUUCAGGAAACUGGGGCUAAUACCGGAUAGGAGCUCCUGCUGCAUGGUGGGGGUUGGAAAGUUUCGGCGGUUGGGGAUGGACUCGCGGCUUAUCAGCUUGUUGGUGGGGUAGUGGCUUACCAAGGCUUUGACGGGUAGCCGGCCUGAGAGGGUGACCGGCCACAUUGGGACUGAGAUACGGCCCAGACUCCUACGGGAGGCAGCAGUGGGGAAUAUUGCACAAUGGGCGGAAGCCUGAUGCAGCAACGCCGCGUGCGGGAUGACGGCCUUCGGGUUGUAAACCGCUUUCGCCUGUGACGAAGCGUGAGUGACGGUAAUGGGUAAAGAAGCACCGGCUAACUACGUG